GCUCCGCGGCGCGAGGCAAUCGUCCGGUGUGUGAGCCCGGGAGCCGGAGGUGUAGCGGCAGAGACAUUGUUCUUGCCGGCUCCCUACGGUGCCGUGUGUGCGUGAGAGAAGACCAGUCUUUCCUCUAGGUUUUAUGGCAGGAAUUCUUCCUAUGUUCAUGGUGGAGUAGAUGCUAGUGGAAAGCCCCAGGAAGCUGUUUAUGGCCAAAAUGAUAUACACCACAAAGUAUUAUCUCUGAACUUCAGUGAAUGUCAUACUAAAAUUCGUCAUGUGGAUGCUCAUGCAACCUUGAGUGAUGGAGUAGUUGUCCAGGUCAUGGGUUUGCUGUCUAACAGUGGACAACCAGAAAGAAAGUUUAUGCAAACCUUUGUUCUGGCUCCUGAAGGAUCUGUUCCAAAUAAAUUUUAUGUUCACAAUGAUAUGUUU
rnacentral:lncRNA from 1 species